rnacentral:lncRNA from 1 species
CUUAAGUCUUAGGAGCAUGAAUCGGCACGCCCAGGCUUGCUAAGAUGACCCAAAUGCAAAUGAGAGCCUGACCAAAACAUUUUUAAACUCUGUAUACGGAGUUAUUUUGAAAUCAGGACCAGAGCUAACUCUGCAGGAAGAAGGAAAAAAACUUGAAAAAGAGCAUGUCCACAAAACAUCCCGUGACCUACAGAAGAGAAAACAGACCAUCAAGCUAGAAGGAGAAAAGACUGAUUGAGGGGAAGAUCAGAGUGGAUGAGAGGAAGUAGAAAAUAAAAACUGCACUCAGAGAGACGGAGGGAAUUGUUAGAAAGAG